CCUACGGGUGGCAGCAGUGAGGAAUAUUGGUCAAUGGCCGGAAGGCUGAACCAGCCAUGCCGCGUGAAGGUCAGUGCCCUAUGGGCGUUAAACUUCUUUUGUGCGGGAGCAAUAAUGGUCACGUGUGGCCAGACGAGAGUACCGUACGAAUAAGCAUCGGCUAACUCCGUGCUAGCAGCCGCGGUAAUACGGGGGAUGCAAGCGUUAUCCGGAUUUAUUGGGGUUAAAGGGUGCGUCGGCUGUGAGGUAAGUCAGCGGGGAAAUGCCCCCGCUCAACGGGGUGAAGUGCCAUUGAUACUGGGAGACUAGAGUAAUGGAGGGGGAACCGGAAUUCUCGGUGUAGCAGGGAAAUGCGUAGAUAUCGAGAGGAACACUCGUGGCGAAGGCGGGUUCCUGGACAUUAACUGACGCUGAGGCACGAAGGCCAGGGGAGCGAAAGGGAUUAGAUACCCUUGUAGUC
rnacentral:rRNA from 1 species